AGUCGAACGCACUUUCGUUAAUUGAUUUUGAGAUGCUUGCAUCGAAGAUGAUUUUAACUAUAAAGUGAGUGGCGAACGGGUGAGUAACACGUGGGUAACCUGCCCAGAAGUGGGGGAUAACACCUGGAAACAGAUGCUAAUACCGCAUAACAAAAUUAACCGCAUGGUUGAUUUUUAAAAGAUGGCUUCGGCUAUCACUUCUGGAUGGACCCGCGGCGUAUUAGCUAGUUGGUGAGAUAAAGGCUCACCAAGGCAGUGAUACGUAGCCGACCUGAGAGGGUAAUCGGCCACAUUGGGACUGAGACACGGCCCAGACUCCUACGGGAGGCAGCAGUAGGGAAUCUUCCACAAUGGACGCAAGUCUGAUGGAGCAACGCCGCGUGAGUGAUGAAGGCUUUCGGGUCGUAAAACUCUGUUGUUGGAGAAGAACGUGUGUGAGAGUAACUGCUCAUGCAGUGACGGUAUCCAACCAGAAAGCCACGGCUAACUACGUGCCAGCAGCCGCGGUAAUACGUAGGUGGCAAGCGUUAUCCGGAUUUAUUGGGCGUAAAGCGAGCGCAGGCGGUCUUUUAAGUCUAAUGUGAAAGCCUUCGGCUUAACCGAAGAAGUGCAUUGGAAACUGGGAGACUUGAGUGCAGAAGAGGAGAGUGGAACUCCAUGUGUAGCGGUGAAAUGCGUAGAUAUAUGGAAGAACACCAGUGGCGAAGGCGGCUCUCUGGUCUGCAACUGACGCUGAGGCUCGAAAGCAUGGGUAGCGAACAGGAUUAGAUACCCUGGUAGUCCAUGCCGUAAACGAUGAAUGCUAAGUGUUGGAGGGUUUCCGCCCUUCAGUGCUGCAGCUAACGCAUUAAGCAUUCCGCCUGGGGAGUACGACCGCAAGGUUGAAACUCAAAAGAAUUGACGGGGGCCCGCACAAGCGGUGGAGCAUGUGGUUUAAUUCGAAGCUACGCGAAGAACCUUACCAGGUCUUGACAUCUUCUGCUAACCUAAGAGAUUAGGCGUUCCCUUCGGGGACGGAAUGACAGGUGGUGCAUGGUUGUCGUCAGCUCGUGUCGUGAGAUGUUGGGUUAAGUCCCGCAACGAGCGCAACCCUUAUUAUUAGUUGCCAGCAUUAAGUUGGGCACUCUAGUGAGACUGCCGGUGACAAACCGGAAGAAGGUGGGGACAACGUCAAAUCAUCAUGCCCCUUAUGACCUGGGCUACCACCGUGCUACAAUGGACGGU
rnacentral:rRNA from 1 species